UCAAGAAGGAAAUACCGGUCAAGAUCUGAUAGACCCGAAGAGGAGGAUGAAGAGGGAGAGGGAGAGGGCGAGGAGAAGGAGAAGCAUCGGUCCAGGAAGAAGCACCGCUUUUCAAGAGAAAAUGAAGAGGAAGAAAGUGGAGAGGUAAGGGAUGAUAGACGAUCCAAAAGAGGGAGAGGGAGACGGAGACGGAGAGGAGGAGGAGAAGCAGCAGUCCAGGAAGAAGCACCGCUCUUCAAGAGAAGAUGAAGAGGAAGAAAGUGGAGAGGUAAGGGACGAUAGACGAUCCAAAAAAAAGAGGCAUUCACACCGUCAUAGACACAAAGAUGGUGGCAAUGCAUAUGAGGAUGUAGAUGAUGAAGAUAAACGAUCGAGAAAGAAGCACCGCAGGCGGCAUUCAUCGCCUGAAUAUGAUGAAGAUGACGAUGAAGAUGAUAAACGAUCAAGAAAGAAGCACCGCAGACGGCAUUCAUCCCCUGAAGAUGAUGAUGAUGAUGAAGAUGAUAAACGAUCAAGAAAGAAGCACCGCAGACGGCAUUCAUCCCCUGAAUAUGAUGAUGAUGAUGAUUAUGAGCGAAGAGAUGCCGAGAGACAUCAUAAGCAUGGAAGGAAAAAGCAUUCAAGUCAUCGGUCUUCACGUGAAAAUAGGAAAGAUGAUUAUGAGGAGGAUUGUAAGCAUUCCAAGAAGAAACAUAGAUCUCAUAGAACCUCCCACCGGAGUAGAGAGAAACUCAAACACAGGCCAAAGCAUUCCAGUGAUGAUGAGUCUGAACAUGGGCAUAAGCGCUCGGACUCUUCAGAUGAUGAAAAGCAGCACUAUGGCAGGGCCGAUAAGAAUGAGAAGGGGACCAAAGAAAGAGAAGAACUGGAAGAGGGUGAGAUCGGUACCAAAGUGUCAGAUCAACCCGAACUCUUCAGAUGAUGAAAAGCAGCCCUAUGGCAGAGCUGACAAGAAUGAGAAGGGGACCAAAGAAAGAGAAGAACUGGAAGAGGGUGAGAUCGGUACCAAAGUGUCAGAUCAAUCAAGAGG
rnacentral:lncRNA from 1 species